rnacentral:rRNA from 1 species
GUCGGGGUGAGAGUGGCGAACGGGUGAGUAAUGCGUGACCAACCUGCCCUGUGCACCGGAAUAGCUCCAGGAAACGGGUGGUAAUACCGGAUGCUCCGCUCCAUCGCAUGGGUGGGGUGGGAAAUGCUUUUGCGGCAUGGGAUGGGGUCGCGUCCUAUCAGCUUGUUGGCGGGGUGAUGGCCCACCAAGGCGUUGACGGGUAGCCGGCCUGAGAGGGUGACCGGCCACAUUGGGACUGAGAUACGGCCCAGACUCCUACGGGAGGCAGCAGUGGGGAAUAUUGCACAAUGGGCGCAAGCCUGAUGCAGCGACGCCGCGUGCGGGAUGGAGGCCUUCGGGUUGUAAACCGCUUUUGUUCAAGGGCAAGGCACGGUUUCGGCCGUGUUGAGUGGAUUGUUCGAAUAAGCACCGGCUAACUACGUGCCAGCAGCCGCGGUAAUACGUAGGGUGCGAGCGUUAUCCGGAUUUAUUGGGCGUAAAGGGCUCGUAGGCGGUUCGUCGCGUCCGGUGUGAAAGUCCAUCGCCUAACGGUGGAUCUGCGCCGGGUACGGGCGGGCUGGAGUGCGGUAGGGGAGACUGGAAUUCCCGGUGUAACGGUGGAAUGGCGGGCUGGAGUGCGGUAGGGGAGACUGGAAUUCCCGGUGUAACGGUGGAAUGUGUAGAUAUCGGGAAGAACACCAAUGGCGAAGGCAGGUCUCUGGGCCGUCACUGACGCUGAGGAGCGAAAGCGUGGGGAGCGAACAGGAUUAGAUACCCUGGUAGUCCACGCCGUAAACGGUGGAUGCUGGAUGUGGGGCCCUUUCCACGGGUCCCGUGUCGGAGCCAACGCGUUAAGCAUCCCGCCUGGGGAGUACGGCCGCAAGGCUAAAACUCAAAGAAAUUGACGGGGGCCCGCACAAGCGGCGGAGCAUGCGGAUUAAUUCGAUGCAACGCGAAGAACCUUACCUGGGCUUGACAUGUGCCGGAUCGCCGUGGAGACACGGUUUCCCUUCGGGGCCGGUUCACAGGUGGUGCAUGGUCGUCGUCAGCUCGUGUCGUGAGAUGUUGGGUUAAGUCCCGCAACGAGCGCAACCCUCGCCGCAUGUUGCCAGCGGGUGAUGCCGGGAACUCAUGUGGGACCGCCGGGGUCAACUCGGAGGAAGGAGGGGAUGACGUCAGAUCAUCAUGCCCCUUACGUCCAGGGCUUCACGCAUGCUUCAAUGGCCGGUACAACGCGGUGCGACACGGUGACGUGGGGCGGAUCGCUGAAAACCGGUCUCAGUUCGGAUCGCAGUCUGCAACUCGACUGCGUGAAGGCGGAGUCGCUAGUAAUC